ACUUCAUAGCUUUCCCUGGCUCCACAAACCAGUAACUCCCUAACAUUAGCUAGCUAACAAGAAAUGCCAGCUAAAACGUGUGAUUAACUAGGGUUUACCGCUGUACGGAUAAUUGACCAAUGUAUUUGUCAAACUAAUUAACUAAUUUCAAUGGCUCUGUUUUGGAUGGCUGUUCAUCUUGAAAUUUUCCUCAUAAUGCUAUACUGUAGCCACACCCUGGCGAAACCAACAUGGCAUCUGAUAGCUACCCAUUACAUGAGGGCAGGAAAAAUACAAGUGACGGGGUGUAAAGAGCAAAGGCUGAUGUCCUGAAGGUCCAGGUGGACAUUGAGGAGCACAUAGCCUCUGGCCACAUUGCCCUAAAGCAAGGGGACUGUGAAGAAGCCCUCAGCCUCUUCAAAAAGGCCUUCAAAGCUUCCAUAGAGCUAAAGGAGACCAGGGUCCAGCGGGCAUGUGCCUUUAACCUGGGAGCUGCCUACGUGGAGGUGGGUAAAGCCCUGAAGGGGCUGGACUUCCUGAAGCGGGCCCAGCCAGGAGAGAGGGGCGAGCGGAUAGCAGACCUCCAGUUCAACCUGACCGUAGCCCAUGAGCCCCUGGGGAACCAUAGCCAGGCAGCUGUUCACUGCCUCCAGGCAGCCCAGCUGUACCGCUCCCAGGGGGACGGAGCCAGUGAGGGGGAGACCUGCAUGAAAAUGUCCCACUGUCACCUGCUCCUAAAGAACCUGGGAGCCGUUCACAACACACUGAGCCAGUACCGGCAGGCCCUGGACUACCACCGAUAGACAGCCAGCCUGCAUGGGUCUUUGGGCAGUCGUCGUGCUCAGGGCCGCUGCUUCAGUAACUUGGCCUUGAGGAGCAUGAGGAGGCAGCAGAGAACGACCUCCACGCCCUGCAGGCCUUCAAAGACACUGGCUUGUGAGGGUUUAGGGGAAGUUCGCUUUAAGUUGAGAGACCUGGAGAGAGCCACCCUCUACUACAAACAAGCUCUGGGUUUACUGUCAAAGUGCAAGGACUCGUCCAGCUCGGUCCAGGAGCAUCUGGUCAACAAGCUGAGUGAGGCCCUGCAACACAGGCUGUCACUGAUCACCCCUGGAAAACCCCAGUGAGUGGAGCUGGCUCUGCAGAGGUGUCUACUGGAGAGCAGGGGUAGGAGGAGGAAGCCCCGGGUCCAGAUGGAGAACAGGCACACACAGUGACGAUGGGAGAAGCAUGUGACUCCCAGUCACCGGUGACAAGAUCUCUCAUUGAGAAGCCGGGGUAUCUGACUGUGCUGCCAGGGGCAAACAG